rnacentral:tRNA from 1 species
GGGGACGGACUGUAAAUUCGUUGACAAUGUCUACGCUGGUUCAAAUCCAGCUCGGCCCA